rfam:Felis catus isolate Cinnamon breed Abyssinian chromosome C1, whole genome shotgun sequence.
GCCUGGGUGGCUCAGUCGGUUAAGCAUCUGACUUCGGCUCAGGUCACGAUCUCACUGUCUGUGGGUUCGAGCCCCACGUCGGGCU